GACGAACCGUCCGAACGUUAUUCGGAAUCACUGGGUUUAAAGCGUGCGUAGGCGGCUUAUCAGGCGGGGUGUGAAAUCCCUCGGCCCAACCGAGGAAUUGCGCUCCGAACCGAUAGGCUUGAGGAGGAUAGAGGUAAGCGGAACAGAUGGUGGAGCGGUGAAAUGCGUUGAUAUCAUCUGGAACACCUGUGGCGAAAGCGGCUUACUGGGUCCUUUCUGACGCUGAGGCACGAAAGCCAGGGUAGCGAACGGG
rnacentral:rRNA from 1 species